rnacentral:rRNA from 1 species
CCUACGGGAGGCAGCAGUCGAGAAUCAUUCACAAUGGGGGAAACUCUGAUGGUGCGACGCCGCGUGGGGGAAUGAAGGUCUUCGGAUUGUAAACCCCUGUCAUGUGGGAGCAAAUUAAAAAGAUAGUACCACAAGAGGAAGAGACGGAUAACUCUGUGCCAGCCGCCGCGGUACUACAGAGGUCUCACGCGUUGUUCGGAAUCACGGGGCGUAAAGCGUGUGUAGGCUGUUUCGUAAGUCGUGUGUGAAAGGCGCGGGCUCAACCCGCGGACGGCACAUGAUACUGCGAGACUAGAGUAAUGGAGGGGGAACCGGAAUGCUCGGUGUAGCAGUGAAAUGCGGAGAUAUAGGGAGGAACACUCGUGGCGAAGGCGGGUUCCUGGACAUUAACUGACGCUGAGGCACGAAGGCCAGGGGAGCGAAAGGGAUUAGAUACCCGGGUAGUC